rnacentral:rRNA from 1 species
AGAACGAACGCUGGCGGCAUGCCUAACACAUGCAAGUCGAACGCUUCCGGGGCUUCGGUCGCGGAGGAGUGGCGCACGGGUGAGUAGCGCGUGGGAACCUGCCCUGUUGUGGGGGAUAACCGAGGGAAACUUCGGCUAAUACCGCAUACGCCCCGGGACUUGGUCUUCGGAUUAGGUCUGGGGGGAAAGAUUGAUCGCAGCAGGAGGGGCCCGCGUCGGAUUAGCUGGUUGGUGGGGUAACGGCUCACCAAGGCGAUGAUCCGUAGCUGGUCUGAGAGGAUGAUCAGCCACACUGGGACUGAGACACGGCCCAGACUCCUACGGGAGGCAGCAGUGGGGAAUAUUGGACAAUGGGGGCAACCCUGAUCCAGCAAUGCCGCGUGAGUGAUGAAGGCCUUAGGGUGUAAAGCUCUUUCGCCGCGACGAUGAUGACGGUAGCGGGAGAAGAAGCCCGGCUAACUUCGUGCCAGCAGCCGCGGU